rnacentral:lncRNA from 1 species
CAUGUAUGUUUAGGCCUGAUGUUGGAGUUCUGAAAAGAGAUCUAAGUCGGCUCUCCGACAUUCAAAAUUGCUCGGCUCACUAUAUUGUUCCACUUUGGUCGAUGGUAGUUCGAUCUCGAGUAGGAUCAUUGCUUCUGUCCCAUAAGCUAAAUUGAAGGAGGAUUCUCCAGUUGAUAUGAAGGGAGUUGCUCGAUAUGCCCAUA